AAUGUUCUACCUAUUUCUCUUAAACCAUCAGAAGAGAACCUGGGAAAGAGAUCAAAGUUCUCAUUCAUAAUUCAGUGCCUGAUUUUAUACUCAAGUAACAAAAGGGCACUGGAGUAGGAGUGAGGAGUAAUAUAACUAUGACUCCCACUAGUUAGUUGUAUGACCAACACUGGAGUCAUAAAGACCAGGGCAGGGAUUGGACUCAAUGAACCUUAUAAUUCCAGCUUUAAAGUUCUAUGCCAUUUUGAUUUCAAAGAAGCACUUGUAGCAAAAUUAUUCAGACAAAGGAGAACUAUAGUUGCAAGGAAAGAUGGAUAAAAAAGGAUAGGAUCAAUAGCAUACCACAAAGCAUAAACUGCCCAUUCCAAGAUAUUUAAAGAGGAACAAAAGCACCAGGAUCAUCAAUAGAAGCAACAUAAUUCUGAAGUCACGAAGCUCUGGGUUCAGGAUCUGCCUUUAAUCUGUAUAGAGAAGCCUGGGGCAAGUUUAUCCCAAAGCUGAGAAAAGGUUUUUAGGACAAAGAACAAGCUGCUCUGGUUUUUGAGAGUCUACAUGAGAUUAAUUAGAUGAUUCCAAUUUCGUCGGCAAAUUCAGUGACAUUGCAUCGAUAAGAGAGCAGCCAUGUUAAACUCUUCGGUAAAACAGGCCACUGCUUUGAAGAUGCUUGGAAUUCUCCAGGAUAGAAACUACAUCUUGUGCAACAACCAGGGAAUGACUGUGGGAAGAAGCAGAAGAUAGCAGGACUUUUCAGAAGGAAAAAUGAAAAAACUGAGGCCCAAAGAAGAGAAAUGAGAUGAGUAAGAUCACACCAGGACCAAGAACUGAAACCUCAUCUUCUCAUUCCAAAGACCAUAAGCUUAAGUACAGAAACAAAUUCAAAAGAACUUAAGUACCUACUUUUUGCAAUGAACUGUGCUCAGUACUGGGGAAGAUAUCAAGAUCAACCACCCAAACUCCUAUAAUUCUGGACUGGGACACCAUUCCUGGCUUUCUCCCAACCUUCUGUAGCUCUCCUUUUGUCUUAUAACACGAUCAAAUGUCCAGGAACCAAAGGAGAUCUUCCACUACAGAGGCUGUAUGACCUACUUUAUUUGUUAUCAA